UUAAGCAUAUCAAUAGGCGGGAGGAA
rnacentral:rRNA from 1 species